rnacentral:rRNA from 1 species
UACGAAGGGGGCAAGCGUUGUUCGGAAUUACUGGGCGUAAAGGGCGUCUAGGUGGUUAUAUAAGUUGGAUGUGAAAGCCCUCGGCUCAACCGAGGAAUUGCCUCCAAAACUGUAUAACUAGAGUAUGAGAGGGGAAAGCGGAAUUCCUAGUGUAGCGGUGAAAUGCGUAGAUAUUAGGAGGAACACCAGCGGCGAAGGCG